UUAUUUUCGUUAAAGAGCAAGUAACGUCUAAAUUAACUUUUUUUUGCUGAUGAACUGUAUAAAUGAGUGUCUAAUAGUGUUUUAAAUGUGUGCAUUCUUUAUUUUAGCAUUUUGGUGCAUUUUCUUUAAAAAUUAAAAAUUCUGUCUAAAAACCACAGUAAUGCGCCACCUUCAGCUGAAAACAUAGAAUUUGAGUCAUUUUGAAUAAAUUUUAGCCAAUGGCUAAAGAGUAAAGUACUACGUAAACCAGUAGAGUACUACGUAGCAGCUCCGUGCCAAAGUUAUAAAAGCAACGAGCGUCUCGGCCACGCCCUGUGGCGAGUGGGAGUUGGAUUUGCAAGCGAGUGUAGGAGGUCAGCGGUAGUUCAGCAUUAGCAUAUAGCAUUAGCAUAUCCUAGUCUUUAGCAUAUCUUUUAGUGUUAUAAAUACUUAUUUAGUGUUAGCUUGGCUGUUGUAUAUUAUAGUUUAGUUAGUGUUUGGCUGUUAGUGUAAUUGGGAAAGUAUUUCGGGUUUAGUGUUCCAUAUCGUCUUAGUAUUGGUGAGUAGGUGUAGUGUAGUAUGGUUGCGGUGACUCUGUGGGCAUUUUACCCGCGAUUCUGCACGUCUCCGUUUGAAGAGGGAGGCUGUGCCCACCGUGGCUCUUCCGCGAUUUAGAUGCAGCCCACCGACUCUGCUCCCCCACCACGGCGGGCUCCAGUCUGAGGCUAAAUCUACCCAAGACACUGGCUGUCAGACUGAUUUAGCUGCAUGAAUGUACUUGUCCAGGCUGAUGUGAAACCUUCCCUGUAGCAAAGCCAGCCAGAAUGGAGUUCACAGCUGCAGUGUGUCUGGUGACCCACGGGGACCAUGAUGAAAAUUCAUCUUCCAGAAGGUCCCAGAGCGUCCAGACCCCCUGAAAAGACCAAGGUGUGAGGUGUCUGCUGUUGAUUCCAGCUUCCACCUCAGUGACAGUGCAAGCUCAGUGAACUGUUCAAGCCUGGCUGAUCACCUGAUAACUCCUGUCAUCUGGUUAUGACAGCAUGAGGAUGUCCUCACACACCUGUAACCUAUCAGCUCAUCUGGCAGAAUAGAGAGAGAAGAGACAACACCACAUCUCCUGUUCCUGGAAAGCCUUCAGCCUUCCUUCGAUGACUGAGAACCUCCAUCAGCUCUGUCUCCUGUCUGCCUACAAUUAUUAUAAUAAAUAUUGUGUUUGACAA